GACGAACGCUGGCGGCGUGCUUAACACAUGCAAGUCGAACGAAGUGGCGAACGGGUGAGUAACGCGUAAUUAACCUGCCCUUCAGUGGGGGACAACAGUUGGAAACGACUGCUAAUACCGCAUACUGAAGGAGGGGAUUGCGUCUGAUUAGCUAGUUGGAGGGGUAACGGCCCACCAAGGCGGUGCCGGGUAGCCGGCCUGAGAGGGUGGCCGGCAACAUUGGGACUGAGAUACGGCCCAGACUCCUACGGGAGGCAGCAGUGGGGGAUAUUGCACAAUGGGCGAAAGCCUGAUGCAGCGACGCCGCGUGGGGGAUGAAGGCUUUCGGGUUGUAAACCUCUUUCGCUAUCGAACGGGUAGGUGGAGAAGAAGCGCCGGCUAACUACGUGCCAGCCGCCGCGGUAAUAC
rnacentral:rRNA from 1 species